GGGGUCGUGGGGUAGCCUGGACUAUCCUAUGGCGUUCGGGAUGCUGUGACGUGAGUUCGAAUCUCACCGACCCCA
rnacentral:tRNA from 1 species